GCACCUACGGGAGGCAGCAGUGGGGAAUAUUGCACAAUGGGGGAGACCCUGAUGCAGCGACGCCGCGCGAGUGAAGAAGUAAUUCGUUAUGUAAAGCUCUAUCAGCAGGGAAGAAAAUGACGGUACCUGAGUAAGAAGCCCCGGCUAACUACGUGCCAGCAGCCGCGGUAAUACGUAGGGGGCAAGCGUUAUCCGGAUUUACUGGGUGUAAAGGGAGCGUAGACGGCGAUGCAAGCCAGAUGUGAAAGCCCGGGGCUCAACCCCGGGACUGCAUUUGGAACUGUGUGGCUGGAGUGUCGGAGAGG
rnacentral:rRNA from 1 species